rnacentral:rRNA from 1 species
AUACGUAGGGGGCGAGCGUUGUCCGGAAUGAUUGGGCGUAAAGGGCGCGUAUGCGGCCCGGUAAGUCUGGAGUGAAAGUCCUGUUUUUAAGAUGGGAAUUGCUUUGGAUACUGUCGGGCUUGAGUGCAGGAGAGGUAAGUGGAAUUCCCAGUGUAGCGGUGAAAUGCGCAGAGAUUGGGAGGAACACCAGUGGCGAAGGCGACUUACUGGACUGUAACUGACGCUGAGGCGCGAAAGCGUGGGGAGCAAACAGGAUUAGAUACCCGGGUAGUCCACGCCGUAAACGAUGAAUACUUGGUGUAGGGGGUAUCGACUCCCUCUGUGCCGCAGUUAACACAAUAAGUAUUCCGCCUGGGGAGUACGGCCGCAAGGUUGAAACUCAAAGGAAUUGACGGGG